UACGUAGGUGGCAAGCGUUGUCCGGAAUUAUUGGGCGUAAAGCGCGCGCAGGCGGCCUUUUAAGUCUGAUGUGAAAGCCCACGGCUCAACCGUGGAAGGUCAUUGGAAACUGAAAGGCUUGAGUACAGAAGAGGAAAGCGGAAUUCCACGUGUAGCGGUGAAAUGCGUAGAGAUGUCAUAGAACACCGAUUGCGAAGGCAGCUCACAAAACUGUAACUGACGCUGAGGCUCGAAAGUGUGGGGAUCAAACAGG
rnacentral:rRNA from 1 species